rnacentral:lncRNA from 1 species
UGUCUAACCAUUGGAAAGUCAUGAUGAGUUUGAAGAACAUAUAAUUGUAUCCCGCCUUUUAGAAUGUAUAAUUGUCCUUUAAAAUAAAGUAAAUUGUUCUUGAAUUCAAACUUAGAAAUAUUAUAAGAUUUAAAAGGAUUAUUUUUGAUAUCAUAGAUAAGAGAAUCAAAAGACAUACUUGAUUGAAUUUGCUUGACAAAGAUUGAAUCAACAAUCAAUGUUGAUUUUAUUACUCAAAGAUGAAAAUGCUCUAGUUUCAAGAGAAUAAUUCCUUAUUGAUCAAAAAAUAUUUUUUCUUCUUUUGGUGCAAAAUAAAAACUUCUAAAAGGAAAUUUUAAAAAUCUUGUUGUUUUUUUGGAUCAAUAAGUAUUCUUGAAAUCAAAUCUUAAUAAAGACGUACUCCAACAAGCUUGGUGACAAU